rnacentral:tRNA from 1 species
GCCUGGGUGGCUCAGUUGGUUGAGCAUCUGACUUUGACUCAGGUCAUGAUUUCGUGGCUCAUGAGUUCAAGCCCCACAUUGGGCU